GGGUCUGCUGGGAAGGCAUCAUGCCAACCUUUCACCAUCAGUGAGCAUGUUCAGCAGAUUAAGAAGUAGGAGAAACUGACUAUUGAGCUCAAGAAGAAAACCUCUAUGGAGAUUUUCUUGUUGACUGGGCUCAUAGAUUCAGACCUGAAGUCAGGGAUAAUAUGGACAAUGGAGAUCCAUUUGAAAGAAGCUGCUUAACUUGGAGGAACAGGGAAACAGUGAGCAAGAGUAAGAUGUUUGUCCACCACCUGAUCCCUUGCUGAGAACAAAGUCUCCUCUUCACAGCCUGAAAACUGGGCAGGCUGGAAGCCAAUAGCAAUGUACAUGAAGAAAGUACAUCAGUAGUGAGAAAGAAAAUUGCUGCACUUCUUCAAUAAUCAUUUCCUUAGAUUUUUAGGUGCUGAGGACAAAGAGAAGACACACAUAAGGAGUGAGACAGAAGGUCUGAACUGGAAGGACAGAGACAGAUGGACAGAGCUGGAGAGGGGAUGAGCUGAAAAGACCGGUUUGAGAUAAGGAGAACAAAGGGAAGUAGAACUAAGACAAAAAGAUCUUGGCUGAGAAGUAAUGUAGAGUGGAAUAACUUAUGUAACAUAAGAGAGCAAUCUAGAGAAUGCAGGUGAAAAGAGGACAAAAGAAGAAGCUGGAAAGAACAGAAGGUGCAGGCAGGUUUCUCCUUAUCUUGGGACAGAAAAGGUCAUUUCUUAAUAGCAAUGCAAAAUUAGUCUGUUAAAAGGAACAGGCCUUUUCUUUUACAAACUUGGGUUUAAAUCACUUAGCAUUAAAAGGGUAGAAGCGAUUUCUUUCUCUCUGUAAUAAAGAUUGGAGUUCAUCUUUC